AUUGAACGCUGGCGGCAUGCCUUACACAUGCAAGUCGAACGGUAACAGGUUAAGCUGACGAGUGGCGAACGGGUGAGUAAUGUAUCGGAACGUGCCCAGUCGUGAGGGAUAACUGCUCGAAAGAGCAGCUAAUACCGCAUACGACCUGAGGGUGAAAGCGGGGGAUCGCAAGACCUCGCGCGAUUGGAGCGGCCGAUAUCAGAUUAGGUAGUUGGUGAGGUAAAGGCUCACCAAGCCGACGAUCUGUAGCUGGUCUGAGAGGACGACCAGCCACACUGGGACUGAGACACGGCCCAGACUCCUACGGGAGGCAGCAGUGGGGAAUUUUGGACAAUGGGCGCAAGCCUGAUCCAGCCAUGCCGCGUGCGGGAAGAAGGCCUUCGGGUUGUAAACCGCUUUUGUCAGGGAAGAAAAGGUUCUGGCUAAUACCUGGGACUCAUGACGGUACCUGAAGAAUAAGCACCGGCUAACUACGUGCCAGCAGCCGAGUAACAC
rnacentral:rRNA from 1 species